rnacentral:sRNA from 1 species
GCCCAAUUUCGCGCGUGCCUGUGUCGUGUGUCGGGUUGGCGGGAACUCCCCGCCGGGCAACCCGAUGGCCGGAAAUCCCAACCGGCUCUAAGUCGCCUCUCCGGCGGCGGACGCGACGUGAAGCAACGACGUAGAGGGCUUUU